rnacentral:rRNA from 1 species
UACACACCGCCCGUCACACCAUGAGAGUGGGUUGCAAAAGAAGUAGGUAGCUUAACCUUCGGGAGGGCGCUUACCACUUUGUGAUUCAUGACUGGGGUG